rnacentral:rRNA from 1 species
UACGUAGGGCGCAAGCGUUGUCCGGAAUUAUUGGGCGUAAAGGGCGCGUAGGCGGCCUUCUAAGUCGAACGUGAAAUCCCCGGGCUCAACCCGGGAACUGCGUCCGAUACUGGGAGGCUUGAAUCCGGGAGAGGGAUGUGGAAUUCCAGGUGUAGCGGUGAAAUGCGUAGAUAUCUGGAGGAACACCGGUGGCGAAGGCGGCAUCCUGGACCGGUAUUGACGCUGAGGCGCGAAAGCCAGGGGAGCGAACAGG